UUUCCUCUGGAGUAUGUUUGGUGGCGUCUUGUAGAGAUGAGGUGAGAAGCUCACUCAUCCAUGAGGAGCUCGGAGUAGAGCCACUGCUCCUUCGCCUUGAAAGGAGCCAGCUGAGGUGGUUUGGGCAUCUGGUAAGGAUGCCCCCUGAGCGCCUCUGAGGGAAGUGUUCCAGGCACGUCCAUCUGGGAGGAGACCCCGGGGAAGACCCAGGACUAGGUGGAGAGUUUAUAUCUCCACACUGGCCUGGUAACACCUCGGGAGCCACC